rnacentral:rRNA from 1 species
AGCAGUCGCCACGGUAAUACGAAGGGGGCUAGCGUUGUUCGGAAUUACUGGGCGUAAAGGGCGCGUAGGCGGCCAUUCAAGUUAGAUGUGAAAGCCCAGGGCUCAACCUAGGAAUUGCAUUUGAUACUGUUUGGCUUGAGUUCGGGAGAGGUGAGUGGAAUUCCCAGUGUAGAGGUGAAAUUCGUAGAUAUUGGGAAGAGCACCAGUGGCGAAGGCGGCUCACUGGACCGACACUGACGCUGAGGCGCGAAAGCGUGGGGAGCAAACAGGAUUAGAUACCCCAGUAGUCCCUGUCUCUUAUAC